rnacentral:lncRNA from 1 species
GGCGUGCCAAGAUGCCCUGGCACCGCAGCCCCUGCCUUACCACACCGCUCUUCGGAGGGAGGGGCAGGCAGGCAGUGCCACAGGAGCCGGGUGAAUGGAUCAGCUCAGUUAGACCCAAGAGAGCCUCAUGCUUGUCCUAGACCUCAUUUUCCCGACCCAGUGGCAUUCCAGCCACACCUGCUGAGGCCUUGGGUACCUGCGCAUCAGAGUAGCAGCUCCUCCAGCUGGCAGAGAAAGACUUGAUUUGCCACAGUUAGCGCGGCCCACUGUGGAAGCAAUCCAGGGUUCGCUCACCACCCAGCCAUGCCAGCUGAUGCUGUUUUGAUUCCCCUAACCAGGGGCAGUCACUUUUCUAGAACUUUCUGUGUCAUGAACCCUCAAGGGAGGCAGCUAAUGCAACCCUUUCCCAAAGGGCCCUCUCCUAAUACCUGCAAAUUAUAAGGACACUAUUUGACUUGAUAUUAUUUCUGGAGGAAAAUAAAAGUCAAUAAAGGCACAUAAACUGCUCUGUGAUUUGAGGCAAAAUGAAUACAAAAGCCAGGCCCUUCUGCCACACCCACUCACCACGUGAUCUUAAGAGAGUCGUUUCUAAUCUCAGAGUCUCAGUUAUCUUGCCUGUAAAAUGUGGAGGUUGAGCUACAUUAAAUCUAUGGUCA